UUUACUGAUCUUCAUCCAGCUCCUGUUUUCUCAUCUAGUCACGAAGGCAGCUGUGGAAAGCAGGAAGCUGAAGAGGAUGUACCUUGAACUUGGACACCACUGUAACAACAGGAAUGGGAGAGGCCCUGAUUUGGUGAUGGUCCACUUAAUCCUCAGCUGAAAGGUCUAACAAAGGAAUUGUUUGUGCCAGUGAUGGACUGAAAACCAGAGCAAGAACAUUACCCAGCUUUACAUGGCCUGAAGGAUUUAUUUGGAGCAAGGUCACAAGGCUGAGAUUCAUCCACUGGAUUAGAGAACUGGAUGUUCCCAAGGUGGAGAAGGCCUGACAAUACCUGAAACACAAUCAAUAACUGAGGUUUUUAAAACAGCUCCCCUCCAAGUCAGUGUCCUCUGAGCCUUCCUUAACCCCAGGAACAGGACAAGUCAAAACAUUUCUGCACCAGAAGAAGCAAACACAUUCCAAGCUUCUGUGUGAGUCCCUCGUGCUGCAAUUCCUGAAGGAAAACUGCAGUUCACAGGUGGAGGCUUUUAGUUAAGAUCUAAUAUUUGGCUGUGCAACCCCACGUGUUGCUGCAGGAGCACCAACCAGCCCAUGCUCUGCACGGACACAGGUUUCCUUCUGCAGCAAUCCCACAGCAGGAGGACACUCCAAACCCCCCCAGCAGCCCCGUGGUGUCC